CAGAUUUGUCUUAUGAGACACAGUGUUUUCUUCCAGGCCUAAUCUGAAAGAGCACAAUCACAAUUAUUUUCAAAGUGUUUAAUCUUCCUAAAUGAAGCCAAACUCCCCUCCCACAAGCAUCCUUACCAUGAACUCUUGAAGACAACUGCUUGAACUUUAUUAGUGAAAAGCCUUGUAGGACUUUUGUGAGCCUUGAAGGUAGUGGGAAAGCCCUGUCUAUGGAGUUAAAAGAUAUUUGUCUCUCCAAGCAGGGCCUUAGGCCAAGCAUACAAGCUCAGUGCUGAUAUCCUCGGCACAGCUUGUCACACAAGGCUGCAAGGGGAGGUGGCCAGGUCACAUGACAGAGUCAGUGGUCCUUUGGUGGACUCUUAGCCUUGAAGGAAGCUGUUCUGCACUUUUGCUCCACUGUCCAUCGUACACAAAUACUGUGAAACUGUUGGAGACAGACCAUGGCACCCCAAACUGAGAGCUGUAGAAUGCUGUUUAGAAACUGGGAUGGGCAGCUGGUAGAAUUAGGAAGUCCCAAGAAAAGCCUUCUCACUCACAAUAAGAGUAAACCUCUGUCCCCUUUCCAGUGUACAAGUUUUGCAAUACAAGGUCAGCCAAGUGUCCGCUGGCAAGCAAGAUACCUUGUGGAUGCUGGACUUGGUGGGAAACACUCCUACACAAGCCAGCAGGAGAGUCCGGCCUUCCCCUGCCCUGGCUGAAUGCCUUGGGGCACUUGAUGCUGAGCAGGUAGACACAUCCGUGGCUCGCCAACAGGCUCUCUGUAUUUCUCCUCCUUACCAAGAUGGCCAGUGUUUCUUCCAUCAGUUUACUCUUGCCUCUCGAGCCUAAGAAAGGUGUGGUGGUUUUUUGUUUGUUUUGUUUAUUUUUUAAUAUCAAUUUUCAGAUGGAAAAUGAUCUGUAAAACUGGGAAGCCAUUUAUAAGCCAAGGCUGCUUUAAUCUGCACGUGGCAUCCAGAGCUUUGCAACCUCUAUUGAAUAUUGCCAAAAGCACAGCUUCUCUUCUGUGUGACCCUUAAACUGUCCCUGUGUCAUAUUGAUAUGUUGGGUGAUUUCAUGUUAUAAAACAAACAAAAAACCCACCCUGCACAAAGCCCUUUUGAAAGUGUAUUUAUUGCAUAAACAUUCAUAUGUCAAGUGAAUACUUCUUAUACCCCAGGCUCUACCCAGACUGAAAAAGGCUAGAAACAAGACAAAUCCAAUUUUGGCCUUUGUAGAACUUAACCAGUCAAUGACCAAAUAAUUACCACCUCACAAGCCAACUUUGGCAAGACCCUAUCUCUCCCCUACUCCUGAAUACAAUCGUGUGCAUUGGUUCUUCCAGGAAGACCAGAUUGAAUGGAAAUGUUGGGAGAGUAAGUUGCAUUGAGGACUUGCUGGAGUCCCGACAUGGGAGGCUGGCUGGCUCUAAGCAGCCAGAUUCUGAUCUGUGUUCAAGAAUGGUUCCAGGGAAGACGCCAAAGGCAGGAUGAGAGAGUAGGGUCUGAGUGCUUGCCGUACGCACAGCCCCCCACCCCGUUUACUCUGUAACUUCAGUGUUAAUUCAUAUACAGUAUGAGUGGGAGCUGCGUGUCCCUGGGAGCCGAGGACUUGGACUUUGGUCCAUCUUGUAAGCUGCUGCUGCUGCACAAGUGUGUGUCCCAUGGACAGCCCCAAAUUGCCACUCACCGCAGCAAGGUGAUAGGUCAUCUGCCAUUUUGGAAGGACUUUGACCAUUCAGUAAUGAAAUAAUAGUAAUUCAUUUAUUAGUGAGGCAUACUCUUUAAUAAAUUUUGUGCCAAAAUGCAUGGUUUCCCACUUAGCAUUCAAAAUGUUGUAUAAAGAGUAGUUUUCAAUUUCUUACAUGUUCUUCCAAGUAAACUGAAAAUGAGUUUUCACAUCUUACUUUGUUUCUUGUUCAAUCUGCUGCACCCCCCCCCUUAAGCUGUCUUUUUUUCCCAGCAGACCCUGCAUGCAGUUGUGUGAGGACUUUUCUCUAACAUUUGUAAAUUGUCUCAUCUGCAAUAACCACUGAACAUCAUCCCUCCUUGGGAGUCUUUAGAUUUUUGGUGAAGUAUUUUGUUACCUCAGUCUUGUAUCAAGUUGCUGUAUUUUUCAGCUUGUUACACUGAUAAUAAUUGUUUCACUAAUUAAAUACUUUAAUGUACAG
rnacentral:lncRNA from 1 species